AGACUUUCACGCAGUUUUGGUGCUCGCGCGCGGAUUCUCUCGCGCGCAGUUAAACGGGAAGCAGGGCGCGUUCGAGUCGCGAGAUCGAACGAACGUCAACCUGCGCUGCCCCCGCAACGGUAAGCGAUCGCCGCGCGCAUGAAAUUCAGGCACACGGCAAACCGGCUUCGAGGCCACUGCGCAAUGCGCGGGAAGGCGAAGCGGCGUGAUCGUCAGCCCGGAUACCGGCCAGACGAAGCGACGGGUUC
rnacentral:ncRNA from 20 species